UACGUAGGGUCCGAGCGUUGUCCGGAAUUACUGGGCGUAAAGGGCGCGUAGGCGGGAUGGCAAGUCGGUCGUGAAAUCCCUCGGCUCAACCGAGGAACGUCGAUCGAUACUGCUGUUCUUGAGGAUUGCAGAGGAGACUGGAAUUCCCGGUGUAGUGGUGAAAUGCGUAGAGAUCGGGAGGAACACCAGUGGCGAAGGCGGCUCGCUGGGCCGGACCUGACGCUGAGGCACGAAAGCGUGGGGAGCAAACAGG
rnacentral:rRNA from 1 species